GACAGAGGGUGCAAACGUUGUUCGGAAUUACUGGGCGUAAAGCGCGUGUAGGCGGCUUUGCAAGUCAGGUGUGAAACCCCACGGCUCAACCGUGGAAGUGCACUCGAAACUGCAAGGCUAGAGUCCUGGAGAGGAAGGUGGAAUGCUUGGUGUAGAGGUGAAAUUCGUAGAUAUCAAGCGGAACACCGGUGGCGAAGGCGGCCUUCUGGACAGUGACUGACGCUGAGACGCGAAAGCGUGGGGAGCAAACAGG
rnacentral:rRNA from 1 species